rnacentral:rRNA from 1 species
AUGCAGCAUCUUCUCACAGAACACAAGCGUGGGCGCUACGGAUUUGCUUCUUCUCACAGCUUCCGCCAUGGCACGCCGCUCAUAAAUAUGCACCGCCGGCCGCCCCUCCGCUCCUCAGCACCACAAACACAUCGGCAGGGAGGAAACCCACCGAGUACACUGUACACAGAUCCAAUGGAUAUGGAGUCGUCGGUGGCGGUGGUGGCGGUGCCGUUCCCGAUGCAGGGCCACCUCAACCAGCUGCUGCACCUGUCGCUGCAGCUCGCGUCCGAGCCGCGCGGGCUGAACCUCGACCUGCACUACGCGGCGCCCGCGGCGCACGUCCGCCAGGCGCGCGCGCGCGUGCACGGCUGGGACGAAUCGGCGCUCCGCUCCGUCCACUUCCACGAGCUCGACAUCCCCGCGUUCGCCGCCCCGCCGCCCGACCCGGACGCCGCCUCGCCCUUCCCCACCCACAUCAUGCCCAUGUUCGAGGCCUACGUCGCCGGCGCGGCCGCCCCGCUCGCGGCGCUCCUCCGGGACCUCUCCGCGUCCCGCCGCCGCGUCGUCGUCCUGCACGACGUCCUCAACGCCUUCGCCGGCGUCGAGGCGGAGCGGCUGCCCAACGGCAACGGGGAGUCCUUCGGGCUCUACUGCGGCGCCGUGUCGUACAUGGUCGGCAUGGUGGACGCCGGGCACCGCCUCCUGCGGGACUGCGGCCUCGAGUACGCGCCCAUGGACAGGUAUGUGUCUAGGGAGUUCAUGGAGUGCGCCAAGAGGCAGUCCAGCUUGGCGCGGUCGGUCUCGCGCGGCGGCGGCAUGGUCGCCAACACGUGCCGCGCGCUCGAGGGCGAGUUCGUCGACGCCUUCGCCGAGACCCUCGCUGCCGUUGGACAGAGGAUCUUCGCCGUCGGGCCGUUGAAUCCUCUGCUGGAGCCGGGCCAGAUCGACGCGAAGCAGGGGCGGCACGAGUGCCUGGACUGGCUCGACAAGCAGCCGGCGGCGUCGGUGCUCUACGUGUCGUUCGGCUCGACGUCCUCGUUCCGAGGGUCGCAGGUCGCGGAGCUCGCCGCGGCGCUGAAGGGCAGCAAGCAGCGCUUCAUCUGGGUGCUGCGCGACGCCGACCGCGGCAGCGUGUCCACGGACGACGCCGACAGCCGUCGGCACGCGAGACUGGCAUCCGAGUUCGCUGAGCAGACCAGGGGCACGGGGCUGGUGAUCACCGGGUGGGCGCCGCAGCUGGAGAUCCUGGCGCACCCGGCCACGGCGGCGUUCAUGAGCCACUGCGGCUGGAACUCGACCGUGGAGAGCAUGAGCCACGGCAAGCCGAUCCUCGCGUGGCCCAUGCACUCCGACCAGCCGUGGGACGCGCAGUUCGUCGAGAAAUACCUCGGGGCCGGCCUCCUGGUGAGGCCGUGGGAGAAGCACGGCGAGGUGACGCCGGCGGCGAUCAUACAGCAGGCGAUUGAAACGGUGAUGGUCGGCGAGGAAGGGCUCGCGAUGAGGCGGCGCGCCAUGGCGCUCGGGGAGGCCGUUCGCGCCUGCGCGGCUGCAGGCGGCUCAUCGCGCAAGGAUUUGCAGGAUUUCGUUGCUCACCUCACUAGGUGA